rnacentral:rRNA from 1 species
UACGAAGGGGGCUAGCGUUGCUCGGAAUCACUGGGCGUAAAGGGUGCGUAGGCGGGUCUUUAAGUCAGGGGUGAAAUCCUGGAGCUCAACUCCAGAACUGCCUUUGAUACUGAGGAUCUUGAGUUCGGGAGAGGUGAGUGGAACUGCGAGUGUAGAGGUGAAAUUCGUAGAUAUUCGCAAGAACACCAGUGGCGAAGGCGGCUUUCUGGUCUGUAACUGACGCUGAGGCGCGAAAGCGUGGGGAGCAAACAGG